UCUCUCAAUCACGCACCUUCUUCCCCCCUCCCCCAACUCUCUCACUCUCCCCCAACUCUCUCUCUCUCUCUCUGAACUCCCUCGAUCAACCCCUCCGCCUCCGCAUCUGUCUCCUUAUCUGAUCGUCGUCGUUGCCGCCUCCAGUAGUCAUUGUCGCGUUCUGUUGUUUGAUUCUUUCACACCGCUCCGCUUUGGCAACUCAGAGAUCAUCUUCCCAAGAUCAAGUUUGGGCAGUUGUGGCCGCAAGGUUUUGCUGUGGUGGCUCCGUGUUGAAGCUCGUGCAGAUAGCAAAUUCCCUGCCCGGUUAGUCAUUUUCUACAGUUCUAAUUAAUGGUAUUGCUUCCAUAGUUAUGCUAGUCAUGAAGAAAAUUAUCAUCGUUAUGACCACUCUAUAUGUCAGAACUCAUGUGGAGUGUCCAUUGGUUUAACAAUGUUCAUUUCAUCUAGAAAGAACCACUGGGGCUAGUUUAUGUAUGGACAGGGUUUAAAUUAUUUAGUUAAGAUCAUCACAAGGCAGUGCUUGAAUAUUUGCAGUACAAUUUUGAUGUAAUAGCCCUUAGAUAGUUCAUUGUACACAGUGCUAGCUAGUCUUUAUACUAUCCCCUGAUCAUUUGAAUUUUUUAGGGUUUGGGUUACUUAUAUGAGUCAGAUGGUGAAUAUUAAUAAUGAAAGGAACAAAGAUAUAGAAAUAACUCUACUAGAGAAUAUUUAAUGAUCCGAAAAUAAGUUUAAAAAUAUUCACCAUGAACAAACGUUUAGGUAAAAUUUAUAUUUUUAACCUUUACAAUGUUAUAUAUAGUACGAAUUUAUAUAUAUCAUUUUAAUUUUAAUUAUUAUUUUUCAAACUUAUUUAUGAAUAUAAUAUUUAAUUAUAUUAUUUAUGAAUAUAAUUAUAUUCUUUAUUAGGAAAGGAUCAGAUCAUACCUUAUCAGUUCAUCACUAGCUAGCUACUAGCUACCUAGUUCAUUAUCAUGUUUGCCAAUUAAUUAAUUAAUGUAUUAUUAUUAUUAUUGUCACAUACUUUAUCAGCAGCUUACAAAUAUUAAGAUAUCAAACAAAAUUAAUGGAUAUAUAUAAAGCUUGCAGAUGGAUAAAACCUGAUCAAGAAAUUAGGUCACCUGCACUUUUCCCCUUUAUUAUCUCCCCCCCCCCCCCUCUGCUUGUUGGGUAACCUAAGCAAUUGGGUCGUCCAUUUUUUUAAUAAAAAGUGACAAACAAUAGCUAGUUCUGGUAUAAAAAAAAAAAAAAGAAAAA